rnacentral:rRNA from 1 species
AUAGAAUGUUAUCAUAAGGCCUUAGCGCCUAUAAACUUAUACAACUUUCAACAACGGAUCUCUUGGCUCUCGCAUCGAUGAAGAACGCAGCGAAAUGCGAUAAGUAAUGUGAAUUGCAGAAUUCAGUGAAUCAUCGAAUCUUUGAACGCACCUUGCGCUCCUUGGUAUUCCGAGGAGCAUGCCUGUUUGAGUGUCAUUA